rnacentral:rRNA from 1 species
UGGCAGCAGUCGGGAAUAUUGCGCAAUGGAGGAAACUCUGACGCAGUGACGCCGCGUAUAGGAAGAAGGUUUUCGGAUUGUAAACUAUUGUCGUUAGGGAAGAGAAAGGACAGUACCUAAGGAGGAAGCUCCGGCUAACUACGUGCCAGCAGCCGCGGUAAUACGUAGGGAGCGAGCGUUAUCCGGAAUUAUUGGGUGUAAAGGG